rnacentral:rRNA from 1 species
GACGCACGCUGGCGGCGUGCCUAAUACAUGCAAGUCGAGCGAAGCGGCGGAUGGGUGAGUAACGCGUGGGUAACCUGCCCUUAAGUCUGGGAUACCAUUUGGAAACAGAUGCUAAUACAGGCUACUAAAGGAUGGACCAGCGAUGCAUUAGCUAGUUGGGAAGGUAACGGCUUACCAAGGCGAUGAUGCAGAGCCGAGUUGAGAGACUGAUCGGCCACAUUGGGACUGAGACACGGCCCAAACGCCGACGGGAGGCAGCAGUAGGGAAUCUUCCACAAUGGACGAAAGUCUGAUGGAGCAACGCCGCGUGAGUGAAGAAGGUUUUCGGAGUGUAAAGCUCUGUUGUUGGGGAAGCGGUAAUCAACCAGAAAGUCACGGCUAACUACGUGCCAGCAGCCGCGGUAAUAC